UAGGAACUUUUAAUAAAAGUUGAUAGUACGGUAAGAAAUGUUUCUUGUGUUUAGAGAAGUGUCUAUCGACAUCAUGUCUCAUUGUUUGUUAUUAUUCUAAACCAAAAUAAGAUCACAUAUUAUAUAUAAUAAUACGUAAUUAUGAAAAAGAAAAACUUGAGAAUUAUAUAUACCAUGGAGAAACAUGUUUUAUUAAUGUUUAACAUAUAAAGUUUGGUUAAGAAUGUCUAUUGAUGUUGUAAUAGAAUUUUUCUUUCUUUCUUUCUUUAAUAUUUUGUUGUAACUUUUUACUGGUGUAUUUUUUUGGUAAAUGUGUUCUAAAACAUGAUUUUUAAUUGUAUAUAUAGAAUACUCAUUUUGUUGUUUCUUAUUAUUUGCCAACUUAAUACUGGUGUAACUUAUAAAUAAAAAUUAUUUAUAAGUUACUAUAUUAAUUUGCAUUUUUA
rnacentral:lncRNA from 1 species